AAACAGGUCUAUAAUUCUCUCGGUAAUCCAACUUUUAUCCAUUGUUAGAUGGAAGGGGCAUUUGCAGUGUCAGGUUACUCAGCAUGCAUGGCCCUUUCUUAGGGGGUUAACCUUCUAAAUGUUUCUGAUGGUCUGAACCCUCAGCUGCUGCUUUACGGCUAAGUGUUCUCCUGCAGAUGUGCUACUUUACAGUGGCUGGAAGUUCUACUCUUUGACGGUUAUAACGGCAGAAUUCACUACUCAAAAGAAACUGCAUUACCUUGUCACAUGUACAAGAACUUGUUUUUGUGAAGAUCUAUCGAAAGACCGGAUUUUAAAAGGUUACUGGAGCAACAACGGUAACAAGUCCAUUUCCGCUGUAAGCCAGGCUGCUGCUUCCAUUUUUAUACAUUAGCACAAAAGUAAUCCGUAAUCCAAUUUCAGUUAAUGCUCACUAUCAGUCCGUUAUAUUCAAAUCAUUCUUCCUGCAGAUGUUUUCCUGAGUUGAGAAAGCAUGUUCACUUAUCUUCUCUUUUUUUUCACAGCAAGACGCAUGUUCAUCUCACAUGCCUAUGUUUUGAAAAAUAACACUAGGAGAAUUGAGAAACAGGGAAAUCCCAAGUUACAAGCAUGUUCAUCUCAUCAUAGACAUCAGUGAUAGGCUUGUGGGUUAAAGAGGAGGAGUAAGCCAUAGGUUCCCCAAGAGAGGAAUCUUAGGGUGCACAUGGCAGUAAAGGGGUGAAGGUUAGUGCCAUGCCCAUAGAAAAAUUAAGCAACUUACCCAUGUGAAUAGGUGGCUAACCACUGCAAAGUAACCGAAAAGAUCAGAUGCGAGCUGGUUAAAAAUGUUUUCUUUUGAGCAAGAACAUGUACAUGUCUUUGAGUGCAAGGGACAAUGAGGAAUAAUAUACUACUAAGAUAAAAUUUGUGCAUCUUAACCCACCCUAUUGUAAUUAUUUUGACUCGGUAUAUCGAUCUGGACUUAGCAUCCUCACCACGGCUGGUAGAUUCCUGUGGGGUUUGAGUGAUUAAUAUUUGAACAUCUAACUAGGAACUUUUUCUAACAAAGUUUCACUUGUGUGGUGGAUUCAAUUACUUUCUGGUUAGAUUUGUUUGAACCAAAAUACAAUAAGUUAAAUUGAACUACCAGCCAAAUUGCAUUGAUUUGAAACAAAUUUUCAAAAAUUAAUGUUUUUUUAAUGCAAAACUUGAACUGCAAAUGGAAACUACUUAGUCAUUGUACCAAUGAACUCCAUCUCAACCCAAGUCAACA